AGAUUCAGCCCAGCUGUGGAUGAGUGACCUGGAGUCUGCUUGCAGGCAUUUUCUGUGGUGGACAUUUUCAGUGAGUGUAUUCUUUUUGAAGUUAUCGAGCAUUCUAGUUGUCAGAUGUCUCUCCUGAAAUGCCUAGUCAGUGUCCCAGUGCUGUAGAGAAAGCGACCCUGGAUUUUGCCUGUUGACCAAAUUUAUUGCCUUGGCUUGAUUUUACAAACCUGAGUUGUAUGUCUGCAGCAUCCUUCACAUGACA